rnacentral:tRNA from 1 species
GGAUUGUGGCUCAGCGGUAGAGCGCUAGUCUAGCAUGUGUAGGGCCCUGGGUUCGAUCCUCAGCACCA